GACGUAGGGCGCGAGCGUUGUCCGGAUUUAUUGGGCGUAAAGAGCUCGUAGGCGGCUUGUUGCGUCGACUGUGAAAACCCGCGGCUUAACUGCGGGCUUGCAGUUGAUACGGGCAGGCUAGAGUUCGGUAGGGGAGACUGGAAUUCCUGGUGUAGCGGUGAAAUGCGCAGAUAUCAUAAGGAAGACCAGUGGCGAAGGCGGGUCUCUGGACAGUUCCUGACGCUGAGGCACGAAGGCCAGGGGAGCAAACGGG
rnacentral:rRNA from 1 species